GAUAUACUCCCUUCGUCCGGAAAUACUCGUCAUCAAAAUGUAUAAUAGAGGAUGUUUCUAGACGUAUUUUAGUUUUAGAUACAUUUUAUUUAUUUAUUUUGAUGACCAGUAUUUUCGACGGAGGGAGUAGAUU
rfam:Triticum aestivum genome assembly, contig: Triticum_aestivum_CS42_TGACv1_scaffold_178056_2DS